rnacentral:rRNA from 1 species
UACGAAGGGUGCAAGCGUUGUUCGGAUUUAUUGGGCGUAAAGCGCGCGUAGGCGGACCCGCAAGUCAGAUGUGAAAUCUCAGGGCUCAACCCUGAAACUGCGUCUGAAACUACUGGUCUAGAAUCUUGGAGAGGGAAGGGGAAUUUCGCAUGUAGGGGUAAAAUCCGUAGAUAUGCGAAGGAACACCAGAGGCGAAGGCGCCUUCCUGGACAAGUAUUGACGCUGAGGCGCGAAAGCGUGGGGAUCAAACAGGAUUAGAUACCCUGGUAGUCCACGCUGUAAACGAUGAACACUAGGUAUUGGGGGAUUUGACCCCUUCAGUGCCGCAGCUAACGCGUUAAGUGUUCCGCCUGGGAAGUACGGUCGCAAGACUAAA